UGUAUUCAUCACGUUCAUCUUCUACUAUCAUAUUAUGGAGUGUGAUACAUGCUCUCAUAAUCUUCCCAAUUUUGACUUUAUCCCAAAAAAGUGCUGGAUUUUUAACAAUGGAAAAUCGAGCUUGCUAGACUACGAAAGCACGCUCGACUUCUUUUCAGACAGCUUCUUGACGUUGGACAAAUAAAACUGCUUUCAGUCCUUGUGGAAGUGGAAUAUAUUGGAUAAAAGUUACCCAUUUCGAAUAAAUACCAUCGGUGCGAUAGUACGCCAAAUAGUCUCGUUCGUUGACCGAAAAAUUCACUUGCGGGGCUUGACCAUUUAUUAUGUCAUAAAAAAUAGGUGAGCGAUCAAGAACAUUAAUAUCGUUUGAAGUACCUGGAGGUCCAAAAAACGCAUGUCAUAUCCAGAGAUCAUAUGAAGUACCGUCUUUAAAACGAUUAUGGAUUUUCCUGAACCACGGGAAUAUUGCAUUUCCAAGCGGUGGGACAAUUCUUCAACUCCCAAUGCAUACAAUCGAUGCUUCCUAUCAUCCCGGGAAAUCCACAAAACUCUCCAAUAUGAAGUAGACGUUGAAGGUCAUCCGGUGUUGGUCAUCUUAGGUACUCAUCACCGAACAAAUUUAUUAUUGCUUUCACAAAAUUUUCCACACAUAACCGGGUAGUGGUUGAACCGAGCAUGAGGUAUUCGUCGACUGAAUCAAGCACAGAACCAUAUGCCAACACACGAAUAGCUGUUCUACAUUUAUGAAGUGUAGAGAGACAAAGCCUUCCGAGACUGUCUUUUUUUUGUCGAAAGAAUGGAACUUCAUUGGAGAGUCGAUCAACAAUAUGUAUGAACAAUGGCUUGUUCAUUCUAAAUUGUCGUCGGAAAAGAUUUUCAGGAUAUGUUGGAGUUUCACUGAAAUAAUCUGUAACGCUCCGACCCGCCCACGGCUAAUGGGCCACCCACGCCCGCUCUCUCGGCCCGUGGGCCCCAUCCCGUCUGACGGUCGGUCCGUUAAUUUUCCAAAGGCUCGAAAUCAUUGUUUACUGGCCCUGCAAUCACCACCCGACCUUUUCCCAUGCUUUGGCCUCACUCGCACGCUAUCACGAAUCACUUCCCGAUAGGUCACCCAUCCUUCCACUACUUCAGCUUAAGCACGCUUAACUCUGGAGUUCUUUCAGGAUGUGUUCCGGAAAAGAUAAGUCAACUUUGGUGACAUAGGUAGCCAAAUCAAUUCUCUUAAGCCUUUUUCACAUAUCACAACUCGGGAUGUUACAAUUCACCCCCUCUCAAAGAACGCAACGUCCUCGUUGCGCCCCCGACAAGUCUCAAGACGCCUCUCAGGACGGAACUGAGAUGGCUAACCAGCUCUGAUACCACUUGUAACGCUCCGACCCGCCCACGGCUAAUGGGCCACCCACGCCCGCUCUCUCGGCCCGUGGGCCCCAUCCCGUCUGACGAUCGGUCCGUUAAUUUUCCAAAGGCUCGAAAUCAUUGUUUACUGACCCUGCAAUCACCACCCGAUCUUUUCCCAUGCUUUGGCCUCACUCGCACGCUAUCACGAAUCACUUCCCGAUAGGUCACCCAUCAUUCCACUACUCCAGCUUAAGCAUGCUUAACUCUGGAGUUCUUCAGGAUGUGUUCCGGAAAAGAUAAGUCAACUUUGUUGACAUAGGUAGCCAAAUCAAUUCUCUUAAGCCUUUUUCACAUAUCACAACUGGGAAUGUUACAUAAUCAUUCCAUAAACGCAUAUUGCAUUCUUCACGAUUUCUUUCGAUAAAAACUUGUUUUUUCCUUGUCCUCCUUUCAUCUUCUUAAUCAAUCAAUG
rnacentral:lncRNA from 1 species